GGACCCGCACAAGCAGUGGAGUAUGUGGAUUAAUUCGAGGCAACGCGAAGAACCUUACCAGGGCUUGACAUGGGGAUGACCGGCAUAGAGAUAUGCCUUCUCUUCGGAGCAUCCCACACAGGUGGUGCAUGGUUGUCGUCAGCUCGUGUCGUGAGAUGUUGGGUUAAGUCCCGCAACGAGCGCAACCCUUAUCGUUAGUUGAUACAUUUAGGUGAUCACUCUAGCGAGACUGCCGUUGACAAAACGGAGGAAGGUGGGGACGACGUCAAAUCAUCAUGCCCUUUAUGUCCUGGGCUUCACACGUACUACAAUGGCAGUCAUACAGAGGGAAGCAAUAUGGUGACAUGGAGCAAAACCCUAAAAGCUGUCUCAGUUCAGAUUGCAGGCUGCAACUCGCCUGCAUGAAGUAGGAAUUGCUAGUAAUCGCGGAUCAGCAUGCCG
rnacentral:rRNA from 1 species